GUUCCGAAAUUUCACGAUCACUCGACGAAAUCGGGUGCCUAUCAAACCGACCUAUUUCUACACCGACGACGUCGAUUGUCGUAGGCUACAUAUUUUCGUCACCAGAUUUAUUGAACGAUUAAGUCGCGAGCAAUCCAUUGCCUAUUUCAUCGGUAAAAUAAUCGAUGGAUUGUGUAUUUGGUGCUUAUUUCGGACGUAUGAUUAAUGGGCAGACUAAAUCGGGUCCUUGUGUUUAAAAACAUGAAAUGAUGGAGAGUGAGUUUUUAAUAUUUAGUUAAUUAUUGCAACUUUAUUAGUGAGAUUUUUAGGUCGAGUUACAUUUCGGAACAUCCCGGAAGACUGAUGUUCCCAAAAUUAGCGGUUAAACGAGCAUCAUGAAGAUUAGAGGCAAUCCCGCUCGAUCCCAGGGUUUGCGGAAGUAUGGGCAUUCCUGCCACCCAUGCCACCCGUUUAAAUAAAUCAACCAAACCACCUAUUUCGUCUAAUUCCAUUAUUUUCUACACCGAUCAAUGUACAGAUUUAGUUUGAUCUGAUCCAUGAGGAAAUAUAAUAAACCGAUUUAACACCCUA